rnacentral:pre_miRNA from 1 species
UGGCAUGCUGACGUGGCAAUGUCACGUGUCACAAAAUUACCACGUGGUAUUUCCACGUCAGACCAACCUGACCCACGUGGCAUUGCCACGUCGGACAAAACCGCUGAUGUGGCAAUUUUGUGACACGUGACAUUGCCACGUCAGCAUCUUG